UGGAAGUAAAAAGUCGUAACAAGGUCUCCGUUGGUGAACCAGCGGAGGGAUCAUUACCGAGUUUACAACUCCCAAACCCCUGUGAACAUACCAAUUGUUGCCUCGGCGGAUCAGCCCGCUCCCGGUAAAACGGGACGGCCCGCCAGAGGACCCCUAAACUCUGUUUCUAUAUGUAACUUCUGAGUAAAACCAUAAAUAAAUCAAAACUUUCAACAACGGAUCUCUUGGUUCUGGCAUCGAUGAAGAACGCAGCAAAAUGCGAUAAGUAAUGUGAAUUGCAGAAUUCAGUGAAUCAUCGAAUCUUUGAACGCACAUUGCGCCCGCCAGUAUUCUGGCGGGCAUGCCUGUUCGAGCGUCAUUUCAACCCUCAAGCCCAGCUUGGUGUUGGGACUCGCGAGUCAAAUCGCGUUCCCCAAAUUGAUUGGCGGUCACGUCGAGCUUCCAUAGCGUAGUAGUAAAACCCUCGUUACUGGUAAUCGUCGCGGCCACGCCGUUAAACCCCAACUUCUGAAUGUUGACCUCGGAUCAGGUAGGAAUACCCGCUGAACUUAAGCAUAUCAAUAGNCCGGAGGAA
rnacentral:rRNA from 1 species